GACGAACGCUGGCGGCGUGCUUAACACAUGCAAGUCGAACGGAAAGGCCCUGCUUUUGUGGGGUGCUCGAGUGGCGAACGGGUGAGUAACACGUGAGUAACCUGCCCUUGACUUUGGAAUACCUUAAGGAAACGGGGGUAAAUACCGGGAAGCAUUUCUGCCUGCUGGGGGGGGGUUGGAAAGUUCGGGGGGUUGGGGAUGGACUGCCGCUUAACAAGCUUGUGGGGGGGGUAGUGACUUACCAAGGCUUGGACGGCUAGCCGGCCUGGGCGGGUGACCGGCCACAUUGGGACUGGGAUACGGCCCAGACUCCUACGGGAGGCAGCGGUGGGGAAUAUUGCACAAUGGGCGGAAGCCUGAUGCAGCAACGCCGCGUGCGGGAUGACGGCCUUCGGGUUGUAAACCGCUUUCGCAUGUGACGAAGCGUGAGUGACGGUAAUGGGUAAAGAAGCACCGGCUAACUACGUG
rnacentral:rRNA from 1 species